AAACGUAUCUGGUGUGGUGUGGCUGGCUUGUGCCUACUGCAGUAACACAUAGGGCAUUGUUUUACCUUGUAAUGCAAUAUUCUGUUUCGUUUCCGUUUGUUUGCUUUUUGGUGGUGUGUUUGGACCGCGUGUUUCAGUAAUUUUAAUCUGUGGCAAAGUGUUUUUUGUUCUAACUGACUACUGGGCUGCAAGUGUAUUCUUGAUGUUCCCAGCUGAUUCCUUUGCACAUGCACACCCCAGCUCACAGCUCAGCGUUUGCCUUCUGGGGAUGUUCUUCCUGCAUUUCAGGAGGCUCCAGCUAAAUUCUGCAGACUUUCUAGAGGCUUUUCCAAAGCAGCUAGCUAGGAGCAAAGAAGACCAUGAGUUCCCAGCCCUGCAGAUGGGAACCUGCAACCCUCCCUCUGGGUGAGAUCCCUUCCCUAGUGGAAGCGUGUUCCCAUGGCUCAAGGGCAGAGCAGUUAAAAAGCAGAAAGCUGCAAGAUGAAACGUGAAGUUUCUUUUUCAAGAUGCCUUUUACGUUUUGGAGACUUUGAGGAAAAUUAGCCACGCAACCCCUCCAUUUACUUUGUUGCCAAAAUAUAAGUCUCUGUAGGAGGAUUGAUUCCCAGAGUUAAGCCCUGGUUACUAGAGCUGAGCCACGUCAUGUGUUAGCAACGUGAGCUGUACAACUGCCCAUAUGCGACGUGUGUGUAUCGAUGCGUCUGUCUGCAACAGUGACGCCUCUCAGCUUCUCCCUGCUGCUUUGCAUUGGUGCCUUGCUUUAUUUCUCUACAAACUGUGACUGCGUUUUUGCAAUGUCAUGAAAACAAAUGACUUUGAGUGCCCUGGAUAUGUUUUUGGUUCCCAAAGCAGCUACAUAUGAAGGACAACAGCGCUGUGCUUCCAGCAAUACUGAUUAACAGUCUGAAGGUGCGUUCUCAUUUUGACAGUUGAAUUUAAUCACAGUUCAUCUGAACGCAGAAGGGCUCUCUGGAACUCCAGCAGAAUCUGGUAGGACUGUGAACACAAGGACUUAAGUGAUAAUCAAGAUUUUUGGAAGGGAUGUGAUUUGUCAUUUUCCAGGGCAUAAGCCAGCCUCUCAAUGGGAAAGGGCUUCAUGAAACUUUCGCUGUGGAAAAUUUUUUAGUCGUUAUGGCAUUGUGCACAGUGCUCACAUGCCUGCCUGUAAUGCCAGUGAACAGCGCCAGAAGAGGAGAGUGCUGACUGCAUUUAUCUUGAGCUUACCCCUCUCAUUUUUCUGAGCUUAAUCGUGUCCUUGUGUACACCAGGACCCCCUGUUAUAUCACAAACAUGCUUGGUGACUUCUGCCAUAGCUUGCUCUCAAGGUGGACGAGGGGAAAUGCUGCACAGAUGAGAAUGAAGGAGAGCUGUAGUCAGACACUUCUGCAUCUCAUUUACAAGGAGAAAAAAAAAAAGCCAGAGACAGACAGGACAGUGCCGUUCUUUUGGCAUCAGCAGAACUACCCCAGAGAAAUGAGAACAGACUUGGGCCUGCUAUCUUCUGGUGCCAGCAUAAUGAAAAGUAACAGUCUUAUAAAAAUGAACGGAUGUAUUUCAAGGCUCCCUCUUGCUGCCACCGGGAGUGCAAAGACCACCUGCCUGCACUCGCACUUCCCCUCUAUGGUGACCAUGGUGGUGGCUGGUGUGGAAAGGUAGACUGUGGAGAGCACUUCUCUAGGCUCAGCUGUCUCCAGUAUGAGUCAGCAACAGGAAAUGGAGGAGAAUAGCAGCACUCUGGCAGAGCUGUUUCACCAUGCUGGUCUGUCUCCAGAGCAAAGCCACAGGGAAAGGCUUUGUGCUAGAAAAGCUUCCUUGGAGCUACUGGCCAUACUAGUCUCUAGCUGGAAAGCAACCUAGUGUAUGCCUACACUUCCAGAAUGAUGCCGGAACAAAGGGACUUACAAAAGUGUAAGGACUGCAGUCCUGGCUUUCUGCUUAUCUGCUACAUCUCUAAAGAUUGUUCGUGAUGCUACCUUUACAGAUACGAGCUUAGGAAGGAACUACAGCUGAUCACAGAACUGACCAACUCUGUUUUCCCUACUUUAUGGCAGAGAAACAAUGUGGGUGAAACCUUAUUAGUUAAGAUGAGAAAAAUUCACUAUAAAAUAUUUUGCAUUAUAUUUCUGGUCCACGUACAGUGACACAACCCUACUGAGAGAAGGUACACUGAGUGACCUCAUAUUAUUCUUAUUUCUUACUGUUGAAAGCUAUUUAACUUAAACAUCUGUAUAAAUAGUGGGAAAUAAACCCCUCCUUUGAAACCCCUUUAGUGGUUUUUGACCCCAAAUUCAAACGCAAGAGAAGGUCUCUAUGAAAUAAAUGGUAAUGC
ensembl:lncRNA